UCACGAUUUGAUUUAAUUUUUGGUGGU
rnacentral:sRNA from 1 species